rnacentral:lncRNA from 1 species
CAGGUUAAAUUCUUAAAUAGGUCGCGCCUGCGCCUAAUUGAGUCUACGAAAGCCUGCACAUUCAGUUUUGCUGGCUACAAUGCAGUGCGGCUGGCGUGAGCUGUCUCCACGAUGCGCUUCGAGCGUGUCGAUUUCGCCGUUCUUUAUGUUGGCGGAAACGACCUUGAAAGCAACAUGGAUCCACAAGAAAUAUGUGACAACAUCAAGGCCUUGAUUGUUCAACGAGACGGCCCCCGUCGUGCUGGUUUUCAAGGUGCUCCCUCGCUGCCUAGAAGAUGCUGAUGCGGAACAGAAAAUGCAAAAACGUCGCUUGCUCAACCGCAAAUUGACGGCUACGCUGAAGCGCAUGCCGUGUCUGCGGAAUUUGAACCCCGAGCUUUCCAGAGUUCCUUGGAAAAUCCUCCCAUGCACCUGCCAUGUACAUUGACCCUCCUCCUCGAUGUGGCGUGCAAGA